AUUGGUGCUCGUUCCGUCAGUUACUAGCGUGCGCUGGUGCCAGCCUCGCGCUAAUCCCUUGCUUGGCCGAGGAAUUUACAUUGCAGGUGCAAGGAUCGUGGAUGGGCCAUUUGGUAGGCGAGAAAAGCCCGCGCGAUCCGGAGAAUUCGACGAAACUGGACCAUGGCAAUGAAUCGCUCGUACUCGAGCGCGAAAAUUGAAUGAAAUGAUCUAGUUGAGCUGAGGGGAGGAGGAGCUGGAAUUGAUGGUUGGUGCAGUGCAGUUCCUCCAGCAGAUGUUGGGCCCCUGAUGCUCCUGGAAAGGAAAGAGCAACCAAACCAACCCUGUUUGGGAGUUGCGGUGGUUCAGUGCCAAUUGGCGUUUGGUAGCCCAGCAGCAACAGAAGAGAGCAACUUGUGUGUGUGCUGCACUAGUGCCAACCAUGCAUACUGUAGCGAAUUCGACAAGAUGUGGUGCCGGCAAAGGAAGAGAAGGCAUUUUAUGUUCACGUGUCACAGGGUGGUCAAGAGGCUGCUGAAUAUAGA